CAGUGAACAAAAGCAGUGAAUAAAAAGCCAGUCUCACCACAGAAACCAUAAAGAGAACAUCCCAGCCUGUGCCUCUCUAAUGGAUUCGAGUGAUAAUUAAGAAGGAACUGAAAAAGGAAAAGGCUCUAUCUUGAUCUUUACCAGUUCUGCCUACAAAGUUACAGUUUGCGGUUUUUCAACAGCUCUAUUUAAAAAAAAAAAAAAAAAGUUUUUUUUUAAAUAAAGUGCCCGUUGCUUGUGAUGACAAAAA
rnacentral:antisense_RNA from 1 species